rnacentral:rRNA from 1 species
GACGUAGGGGGCGAGCGUUGUCCGGAUUUAUUGGGCGUAAAGCGUGCGUAGGCGGCUGCGCAAGUCGGGUGUGAAACCCCGGGGCUCAACCCCGGAACUGCAUCCGAUACUGCGUGGCUAGAGGUAGGUAGGGGAGAUCGGAAUUCCUGGUGUAGCGGUGAAAUGCGCAGAUAUCAGGAGGAACACCGGUGGCGAAGGCGGGUCUCUGGGCAACAACUGACGCUGAGGAGCGAAAGCGUGGGGAGCGAACAGG